rnacentral:rRNA from 1 species
UACGUAGGGGGCGAGCAUUGUCCGGAUUUAUUGGGCGUAAAGAGCGUGUAGGCGGCCAGGUAGGUCCGUUGUGAAAACUCGAGGCUCAACCUCGAGACGUCGGCGGAAACCCUCUGGCUAGAGUCCGGAAGAGGAGAGUGGAAUUCCUGGUGUAGCGGUGAAAUGCGCAGAUAUCAGGAAGAACACCCGUGGCGAAGGCGGCUCUCUGGGACGGUACUGACGCUGAGACGCGAAAGCGUGGGGAGCAAACAGG